GAACCACCCGAUCCCAUCCCGAACUCGGAAGUGAAACUGCUCUGCGCCGAUGAUAGUGUGGGGUUUCCCAUGUGAAAGUAGGUCACUGCCAGGC
rnacentral:rRNA from 1 species